CUUUUUGUGACAAAUCAAAUUUAAGGAACUGGACAAGAGAUUGAGAGGAGUGAUGUGGAGAGGUACAAAGAGUCUUCACUUGAUGAGUUAUAAUGGAGCAUUGAAGUGCCAUUGUUGUAGUCGUAGGAGUUACACCGAUGAAGUUGGGUAGACGAACAGUUUUGGAGUCGUUGGAGACGUCUGAGGCGAGUAGACUAAAGAAAAAGAAGCUAUAAGUUAUACAAUGGGCUGACUAUUUUGAUGGGUUUGGAUGGUUCGAGACCCAUCAUCUAAACAUUCGCGAUGACGUGGCAGUUUGAUUGGUGAAGAAUAUUUUGUCCUAUGUGGCACUUCUAAGAAGCCUCAAAAUUAGUAACUUUUAUAUAGUAGGAUUUAUGCUGCACAUGGUGCAGGAAAACACCUAAUAUUAUUUGAAUUUCAAAAACUAUCUGAUGCACUGACUUUUUGUGACAAAUCAAAUUUAAGGAACUGGACAAGAGAUUGAGAGGAGUGAUGUGGAGAGGUACAAAGAGUCUUCACUUGAUGAGUUAUAAUGGAGCAUUGAAGUGCCAUUGUUGUAGUCGUAGGAGUUACACCGAUGAAGUUGGGUAGACGAACAGUUUUGGAGUCGUUGGAGACGUCUGAGGCGAGUAGACUAAAGAAAAAGAAGCUAUAAGUUAUACAAUGGGCUGACUAUUUUGAUGGGUUUGGAUGGUUCGAGACCCAUCAUCUAAACAUUCGCGAUGACGUGGCAGUUUGAUUGGUGAAGAAUAUUUUGUCCUAUGUGACACUUCUAAGAAGCCUCAAAAUUAGUAACUUUUAUAUAGUAGGAUGCUGUCUUUUAAUGUAAUCUAACUUUACCAGGGCACUAAGGAACAUGUUAUUGAUAUUUGGGAUUUUAUUUGUUUUAUUAUUCAUGUUUUUGUUGAUUUUGAUUUCAUACCGCAUCAUUCAGAUUUAAAGCAUAUACAUUUUACUUUCAUUUUGCAUAAGUUUUAGGCUGUAUCCAUGUCCGACUUAACAAUAGGAAAAACUCUUGAGCAAAAAUAUUUUUAGGUCCUACAAUUAACUAAAUAUAAUUUUA
rnacentral:lncRNA from 1 species